rnacentral:rRNA from 1 species
CGAAUGAACAUGUUUCUCAGCAUGAAUUUC